rnacentral:rRNA from 1 species
GACGAACGCUGGCGGCGUGCUUAACACAUGCAAGUCGAACGGAAAGGCCCUGCUUUUGUUGGGUGCUCGAUUGGCGAACGGGUGAGUAACACGUGAGUAACCUGCCCUUGACUUUCUGAUAACUUCAGGAAACUGGGGCGAAUAUCGGGUAUGAGCUCCUGCUGCAUGUUGGUGGUUGGUAAGAUUCGGCGGUGGGGGAUGGACUCGCGGCUUAUCAGCUUGUUGGUGGGGUAGUGGCUUACCAAGGUUUUGACGGGUAGCCGGCCUGAGAGGGUGACCGGCCACAUUGGGACUGAGAUACGGCCCAGACUCCUACGGGAGGCAGCAGUGGGGAAUAUUGCAGAAUGGGCGGAAGCCUGAUGCAGCAACGCCGCGUGCGGGAUGACGGCCUUCGGGUUGUAAACCGCUUUCGACUGUGACGAAGAGUGAGUGACGGUAAUGGGUAAAGAAGCCACGGCUAACUACGUG